rnacentral:rRNA from 1 species
GCGGCAGGCCUAACACAUGCAAGUCGAGGGGUAACAGGAAAGCUUGCUUUUGCUGACGACCGGCGCACGGGUGCGUAACGCGUGUGCAACCUACCUCAUACUGGAGCAUAGCCCUUGGAAACGGGGAUUAAUACUCCAUGGUAUCAUGAAUUCGCAUGUUUUCAUGAUUAAAGAAUUUCGGUAUGAGAUGGGCAUGCGUCCCAUAGCUAGUUGGUGAGGUAACGGCUCACCAAGGCGACGAUGGGUAGGGGGCCUGAGAGGGUGGUCCCCCACACUGGUACUGAGACACGGACCAGACUCCUACGGGAGGCAGCAGUGAGGAAUAUUGGUCAAUGGAGGCAACUCUGAACCAGCCAUGCCGCGUGAAGGAUGACGGCCCUAUGGGUUGUAAACUUCUUUUAUAUGGGAAGAAACUUAUCUACGUGUAGAUAACUGACGGUACCAUACGAAUAAGGAUCGGCUAACUCCGUGCCAGCAGCCGCGGUAAUACGGAGGAUCCAAGCGUUAUCCGGAUUCAUUGGGUUUAAAGGGUCCGUAGGCGGAUUUUUAAGUCAGUGGUGAAAGCCGACAGCUCAACUGUCGAACUGCCAUUGAUACUGGAAAUCUUGAGUACAAAUGAAGUAGGCG